rnacentral:rRNA from 1 species
UACGAAGGGGGCUAGCGUUGUUCGGAAUUACUGGGCGUAAAGCGCACGUAGGCGGCUUUGUAAGUCAGGGGUGAAAGCCUGGAGCUCAACUCCAGAACUGCCUUUGAGACUGCAUCGCUUGAAUCCGGGAGAGGUGAGUGGAAUUCCGAGUGUAGAGGUGAAAUUCGUAGAUAUUCGGAAGAACACCAGUGGCGAAGGCGGCUCACUGGACCGGUAUUGACGCUGAGGUGCGAAAGCGUGGGGAGCAAACAGG